UACGAAGGGGGCUAGCGUUGUUCGGAAUCAUUGGGCGUAAAGGGCGCGUAGGCGGCUUUAUAAGUCGGGGGUGAAAGCCUGUGGCUCAACCGCAGAAUUGCCUUCGAUACUGUAGAGCUUGAGACCGGAAGAGGUAAGUGGAACUGCGAGUGUAGAGGUGAAAUUCGUAGAUAUUCGCAAGAACACCAGUGGCGAAGGCGGCUUACUGGUCCGGUUCUGACGCUGAGGCGCGAAAGCGUGGGGAGCAAACAGG
rnacentral:rRNA from 1 species